rnacentral:rRNA from 1 species
GAACGAGAAAGUGGAGCAAUCCAUGAGUACAGUGGCGACCGGGUGAGUAACACGUGACCAACCUGCCCUCGAGUGGGGAAUAACUCCGGGAAACCGGAGCUAAUACCGCAUAACAUCGCAAGAUCAAAGCCGCAAGGCGCUUGGGGAUGGGCCCGUGGUCGAUUAGCUGGUUGGUGGGGUAACAGCCUACCAAGGCGACGAUCGAUAGCUGGUCUGAGAGGACGAUCAGCCACACUGGGAUUGAGAACGGCCCAGACUCCUACGGGGGGCAGCAGUGAGGAAUAUUCGGCAAUGGGGGCAACCCUGACCGAGCAACGCCGCGUGCAGGACGAAGGUCUUCGGAUCGUAAACUGCUUUUCUUUGGGAAGAGAGAGGACGGUACCAGAGGAAUCAGCCCCGGCUAACUACGUG